rnacentral:lncRNA from 1 species
UAUAAAUACACCGGGCAUACCCGGACGAGACAAUGUCCAUAAUCAAAUACAAGUACUCCGGGCAUAUCCAGGCAAAUCAAUGUCCAAAAACGUGCAAAAAAAGGAUCAAUGAUGAAAAUACUUAUAGACGCCAUUAGCAAGAGAACCAUAGAGAAUCAAAACAUUCGGAUACAAAACGAACUUUGCUUUGUAUACGUGUGUUUUGAUCCUCCUCACAAUGAAUUCAACUUGCACUUUCAUACCAUCAAAAAUACAACAAUUCCUAGCCAUCCAAAUGUAGUAGACAGUAGUAGCAAAAGCAAUCCGUUUAACACGGCUUGGCCAACUCUUUCCCCGCGCUUCUUUUUUGAGCCAUUUAAAAGUGCUCGGUAAAGUAGACAUGAAAUGCCAAAUACCCAACCAAAAUCUGAUCUGUUUCCGUACCUCGGAAGUGACACGGCAUGCAAAGAAUAAGUGCUGGACAGAUUCGUCCAGCACUUCACAAAAUGGGCAGCUUCGAUCCAUCUCCAAGUGCAGUAGCUUGUCCCUCGUUUGGAGCUUAGAAUGGGCAGCUAACCAUAAAAUAAAUGCAUGUUUGGGGAUGAUGGAACCAUCCCAAACCGUUCUGGACCAGAGAAGAGGUCCCCCCUUCGGCCUGAAGUAGUCAUAAGCUGCUGAAGUAGAAAAAAUUCCAGAUUGUGUCCAGCCCGUCAAUCUGUCCAUUGCUGAAAAUCCGUCCGUUUGGGCAGCAAUGAUACUGUCCUGGAUGUCGACCAGCUUCUUAAUGAGUGGGGAGUCUUGUUUCUUCACACUAUACCCCCAAAAAUCUGUCCCUUGGAGGUAGACAACAUUUAUCCAUUUAAUCCAAAGCGAGACUUUCUUACAAUGGAUAUUCCAAAGUGUUUUAGAGAGAAGUGCAGAAUUCCAACAUUUCAAGUCUCUAAAACCGAGCCCCCCCUCAACUUUAGGGAGGCAAAU